rnacentral:rRNA from 1 species
GACGAACGCUGGCGGCGUGCUUAACACAUGCAAGUCGAACGGAGUGGCGAACGGGUGAGUGACACGUGGGUGACCUACCCUGCACUCCGGGAUAAACCUGGGAAACUGGGUCUAAUUCCGGAUAGUGUGGGAUGGGGGCGCGGCCUAUCAGCUUGAUGGUGGGGUCAUGGCCUACCAAGGCGGCGACGGGUAGCCGGCCUGAGAGGGUGGACGGCCACAUUGGGACUGGGGCACGACCCAGAGUCCUACGGGAGGCAGGAGUGGGGAAUAUUGCGCAAUGGGCGGAAGCCGGAUGCAGCGACGCCGCGUGGGAGAUGACGGCCUUCGGGGUGUAAACUCCUUUCACCAUCGACGCGGUAGAUGGAGAGGAAGCACCGGCUAACUACGUGCCAGCAGCCGCGGUAAUAC